rnacentral:rRNA from 1 species
UUCCCUACGGGACGCAGCAGUGGGGAAUAUUGCACAAUGGCGCAAGCCUGAACGAGCAAUGCCGCGUGAACGAGGAAGGUCUUCGGAUCGUAAAGUUCUGUUGAAGGGGAAAAAGAGCGGAGAGAGGAAAUGCUUUCUGAUUGAUAUUACCCUUCGAGGAAGUCACGGCUAACUACGUGCCAGCAGCCGCGGUAAUACGUAGGUGGCGAGCGUUAUCCGGAAUGAUUGGGCGUAAAGGGUGCGUAGGCGGCCUGCUAAGUCUGGAGUGAAAGGUACCGGCUCAACCGGUACAGGCGCUGGAAACU